rnacentral:rRNA from 1 species
AACGAACGCUGGCGGCAUGCCUAACACAUGCAAGUCGAACGAACCCUUCGGGGUUAGUGGCGCACGGGUGCGUAACGCGUGGGAAUCUGCCCAAAGGUUCGGAAUAACUCAGGGAAACUUGAGCUAAUACCGGAUAAUGUCGCAAGACCAAAGAUUUAUUGCCUUUGGAUGAGCCCGCGUAGGAUUAGCUAGUUGGUGGGGUAAAGGCCUACCAAGGCGACGAUCCUUAGCUGGUCUGAGAGGANGAUCAGCCACACUGGGACUGAGACACGGCCCAGACUCCUACGGGAGGCAGCAGUGGGGAAUAUUGGACAAUGGGCGAAAGCCUGAUCCAGCAAUGCCGCGUGAGUGAUGAAGGCCUUAGGGUUGUAAAGCUCUUUUACCCGGGAUGAUAAUGACAGUACCGGGAGAAUAAGCUCCGGCUAACUCCGUGCCAGCAGCCGCAGUAAC